rnacentral:lncRNA from 10 species
AAGGCAAGGCACGCACAUCCCCAGAGAAGGUGCAACCAGCAAGGCACAAUGUGUGCGAUCAGAAGACGCCCAGGGUCACCAAAGGGGCAGAUGAGGAGACCCCUACAAAGGAGGAGGCAAAACCCGAAGUGGUGGAGAAAGAGUUUUAGAAGAAAGCCAAGUACUGCCAAGGAGUAAUUGCACUGAUAGUGCCAAGUACUGCCAAGAGAUCACCUAAGAAGAAGAAAAC